UUUAUAAUUAUCAUUAAUAACAAAUAUAAUAGAAUAUUUACACCUGAAACCUGCGACUAACAGUUGUUAUAAUAACUAACUAUUCAUUCAUUCAUAAGCUGGAAAAGGGUACAGGCAAAAGAAAAAGCUUCCAUGAUGAAAACCCUUGCCGCCAUCUUCAUUACACUUUCACUUCUGCUAACCGUUGUGACGUCACAGUGUUAUUUUGAUGAUUUUGGAAAAGGUGCAGAAAAAUGUGAAUUCUAUAUCAAUCGAAAUAGUCCCCAUGUACCUAUCAAGAGAGGUGAGAAGAAGAAAGUUGAGAGUUAUUGUUGUGAUUGUAAAAUAGAACCUGACGAUACUCUAUCAAUGUCAUGUUGUGCUCCAGGUGGAGAAUGUAAAUAAAAGACUAUACAAUAAUGGUACUCAUGGUUACUAUAGAGGACAGCCAUCUUAGAUAAUCUGUUAUCAAUAUCUAAAUCUGUAAAAUUCUGUUUUUAACACUUGUCGCCGGAAUGAGUGACUGUAUAAUGAAUAUAGUAUAAAAAUAAAUGAAAAUAUGUU